rnacentral:lncRNA from 1 species
GAGUUUACUCCGUGGACACAGUCUCAAGAUAAUUUACCUUGUGAUCUGUGAACAGUGGCUGACGACAGCAGCACUGGGGGCCUGGCGCUUUCCUUGUGCCUCGAGGUUGUAACGGCCCUGUUUGUGCUGGGUUUAGGAAGUCGGAAGAAGUGCCCAUGCUUCUGUGUGGGGCAGGUUUUCAUUUUGUACGAGUCCUUCCCCUGGGAUGGAACGUGGCAUAAAAUCUGAGUUAUCAUUAGCAUUUAAAUGUAAUUGAAGCCUGUACAGCUUGGGGAAAAAAUUCUUAAGGUAUGGACGACAAGGGUGACCCGAGCAGUGAGGAGGCGCCCAAAGCCAUCAAGCCCACCAGCAAGGAGUUCCGGAAGACAUGGGGCUUCCGGAGGACCACCAUUGCUAAGCGUGAGGGUGCCGGGGAUGCGGAGGCGGACACCUUGGAGCCGUCGCCCCGGCAGCAGCAAAGUCCAUCUCUGCGGCGCAGUGGGCGGCAGCCGAAGCGCACUGAGCGGGUGGAGGAGUUUCUGACCACUGUGCGGCGCCGUGGCCGUCGGAGUGCCCCCGUGUCCCUGGAGGACUCUGGGGAGCCAGCAUCCUGUCCAGCGACAGACGCGGAGACCGCCUCUGAAGGCAGUGUGGAGAGCGCCUCGGACGGAAAGAGUGGGCCCAGGUCCAGCUCCACGGGUGCUAAGCAGCGGCCGGCCUCCUCGGCAAAGGCUAGAGAGGGCGAAGACGAGGACGACACGUCCGACAGCGAUAGCGACGGACUGACCUUGAAGGAACUCCAGAACCGCCUGCGGAAGAAGCGUGAGCAGGAGCCCGCGGACCGGCCCGCAAGGGGCAUCCAGAACCGCCUGCGGAGGAAACGGCGGGAGGAGGACCCGGCUGAGACCGUGGACGUCCAGGCGGGUGAUGCGAUGGAGGGCUCGCUGCCCACCUCACGGGAGCCUGAGGGCGACCUGGGGGCUGCUGCCCAGGCAGUGAAAGAGGACAGAGAGGGCCGGCCGGAUGGGAGAGUGGCCCCGGGAGGGAGAGCCGAGGAAGCCGCAGACUUGGUCCGGCACAAGCCGGAGUGUGAGGUGUACGACCCCAGCGCCCUGUACUGCCUGUGCCGCCAGCCUCACAACAACAGGUUUAUGAUUUGCUGUGACCGGUGUGAAGAAUGGUUUCAUGGUGACUGUGUGGGCAUUUCUGAGGCUCGAGGGCGGCUCUUGGAGAGGAAUGGGGAAGACUACAUCUGCCCCAACUGCACGAUCCUGCAGGUGCAAGAUGAGGCCAGCUCAGAAGCCACAGACAUGCAGGACACGAGGUCAGGACCCCUGGGUGCCGACAGCACGGACUUCACCAGUAUAGGAACCGUGGAGCAGAAGUCAAGUGAAGACCAGGGAAUUAAGGGUAGAAUUGAAAAAGCUGCAAACCCAAGUGGCAAGAAGAAACUCAAGAUAUUCCAGCCCGUCGUGGAAGCACCUGGUGCUGCCAAGUGCAUCGGCCCUGGGUGCUCGAGCGUGGCACAGCCCGACUCGGUCUACUGCAGCAACGACUGCAUCCUGAAGCACGCCGCGGCCACCAUGCGCUUCCUGAGUGCAGGGAAGGAGCAGAAACCCAAAGCAAAAGAAAAGCUCAAGACAAAGCCAGAAAAAAUCGUUCUUCAAAAAUGUAGCGUUCAAGCAGGCAUUAAAAUCUCUUCUGUGCACAAGAGACUGGCUUCAGACAAGAAGGAAAACGCGGUGAAGAAGGCAGCAGUGGCCCCUCCCAGGAAUGAGGUCCUCAGUAAGGAGCCAGUCUGUGAGAGCAGCACGCCGUCCUGGGCCAGCGACCACAAUUACAAUGCAGUAAAGCCAGAACAGACUGCUGCCCCCUGGCCGCCACUGUUGUAUAAAUGCUCUGGUAAGUAUGUGUGUCUUCAGCAGAACCUGAUGGUGGGG